CAGGCCUAACACAUGCAAGUCGAACGCUAUCGCAAGAUAGAGUGGCGCACGGGUGAGUAACACGUGGGAAUCUGCCCUUCUCUGCGGGACAACAGUUGGAAACGACUGCUAAUACCGCAUACGCCCUUCGGGGGAAAGGUCCGCCGGAGAAGGAGGAGCCCGCGUCUGAUUAGCUUGUUGGUGGGGUAAAGGCCUACCAAGGCGACGAUCAGUAGCUGGUCUGAGAGGAUGAUCAGCCACACUGGGACUGAGACACGGCCCAGACUCCUACGGGAGGCAGCAGUGGGGAAUAUUGGACAAUGGGGGCAACCCUGAUCCAGCAAUGCCGCGUGUGUGAUGAAGGCCUUAGGGUUGUAAAGCACUUUCACUGGUGAAGAUGAUGACGGUAACCAGAGAAGAAGCCCCGGCUAACUUCGUGCCAGCAGCCGCGGUAAUACGAAGGGGGCGAGCGUUGUUCGGAAUUACUGGGCGUAAAGGGAGCGCAGGCGGUUCAUUCAGUUAGGCGUGAAAGCCCCGGGCUCAACCUGGGAACUGCGCUUAAUACUGAUGAGCUAGAAAACAGGAGAGGGUAGUGGAAUUUCCAGUGUAGAGGUGAAAUUCGUAGAUAUUGGAAAGAACACCGGUGGCGAAAGCGGCUACCUGGCCUGAU
rnacentral:rRNA from 1 species